UGGGGAAUUUUGGACAAUGGGGGAAACCCUGAUCCAGCCAUGCCGCGUGAGUGAAGAAGGCCUUCGGGUUGUAAAGCUCUUUCAGCCGGAACGAAACGGUCACGGCUAAUACCUGUGACUACUGACGGUACCGGAAGAAGAAGCACCGGCUAACUACGUGCCAGCAGCCGCGGUAAUACGUAGGGUGCAAGCGUUAAUCGGAAUUACUGGGCGUAAAGCGUGCGCAGGCGGUUUUGUAAGUCAGAUGUGAA
rnacentral:rRNA from 1 species